CGUUACUCCUUGGUGUUAAGUAAGAAUUUUGUUUUUCUGCUAGGCGACUACGCUCCUAUACGAGUAAAAGUCGAAGUACUUGGCGGUCCUAAAUAACCGUCCCGCGAGACUUGACGGUUAAUCCGAUAAUCCGCGUUUCACCGUACUUAUCCUUGAAUAAUAAAAGACAGUUGGUGUAUGGCCGUCGUCAGUUUCCCCUCCGAGGGAGUCUUAAAAAUAGGAAGCAGAAUCUUUUACUUAGAUUAGGUAGGAGAAGAAGUCAGGUCGUUAUCCCGCCGAUGGGUAAGGCUUAGUUGAGUCACUUUUUGUAAACAUACACGGAGGGGAGGGGGAAGAACCUCCCAGUAGAAGAAGGAGUGGGCAGUAGCUUUAUCAUUAGAACGGUAAGGUGAAUAGAGAACUUCUGGGCGUACAAAUGCCC
rnacentral:rRNA from 1 species